CGCGGCCUAUCAGCUUGUUGGUGGGGUAAUGGCCUACCAAGGCGACGACGGGUAGCCGGCCUGAGAGGGUGACCGGCCACACUGGGACUGAGACACGGCCCAGACUCCUACGGGAGGCAGCAGUGGGGAAUAUUGCACAAUGGGCGGAAGCCUGAUGCAGCGACGCCGCGUGCGGGAUGACGGCCUUCGGGUUGUAAACCGCUUUCAGCUCUGACGAAGCUUUUGUGACGGUAGGAGCAGAAGAAGCACCGGCUAACUACGUGCCAGCAGCCGCGGUAAUACGUAGGGUGCGAGCGUUGUCCGGAAUUAUUGGGCGUAAAGAGCUUGUAGGCGGCUUGUCGCGUCUGCUGUGAAAACCCGGGGCUUAACCCCGGGCUUGCAGUGGGUACGGGCAGGCUAGAGUGUGGUAGGGGAGACUGGAAUUCCUGGUGUAGCGGUGGAAUGCGCAGAUAUCAGGAGGAACACCGAUGGCGAAGGCAGGUCUCUGGGCCAUUACUGACGCUGAGAAGCGAAAGCGUGGGGAGCGAACAGGAUUAGAUACCCUGUAGUCCACGCCGUAAACGUUGGGCGCUAGGUGUGGGUCCCAUUCCACGGGGUCCGUGCCGCAGCUAACGCAUUAAGCGCCCCGCCUGGGGAGUACGGUCAC
rnacentral:rRNA from 1 species